GGAGGGUGCGAGCGUUAAUCGGGAAUUACUGGGGCGUAAAGCGCGCGCAGGCGGCUGGGGGGUCAGUCGGAUGUGAAAGCCCCGGGGCUUAACCUGGGAAUUGCAUUCGAUACUGCCCGGCUAGAGUAUGGGAGAGGGAAGUGGAAUUUCCGGUGUAGCGGUGAAAUGCGUAGAUAUCGGAAGGAACACCAGUGGCGAAGGCGGCUUCCUGGCCCAAUACUGACGCUCAGGUGCGAAAGCGUGGGGAGCGAACAGGAUUAGAUACCCUGGUAGUCCACGCUGUAAACGAUGAGAACUAGAUGUUGGGAGGGUUAGCCUCUCAGUGUCGCAGCUAACGCGUUAAGUUCUCCGCCUGGGGAGUACGACCGCAAAGGUUGA
rnacentral:rRNA from 1 species